GAUGAACGCUGGCGGCGUGCCUAACACAUGCAAGUCGAACGGAAGGACCCUGCUUUUGUGGGGUUCUCGAGUGGCGAACGGGUGAGUAACACGUGAGUAUCCUGCCCUUGACUUUGGGAUAACUUCAGGAAACUGGGGAUAAUACCGGAGAGGAGCUCCUGCAGCAUGGUGGUCGUUGGAAAGUUUCGGCGGUGGUGGAUGGACUCGCGGGUUAUCAGCUGGUUGGUGGGGUAGUGGCCUACCACGGCUUUGACGGGUAGCCUGCCUGGGAGGGUGGCCGGCCACCUUGGGACUACGGUAGGGAGCAGUGUGCAAUGGUGGGCAGCGGGGGGGAGUAUUGCACAGUGAGCGGGAGCCUGAGGAGAAGGCGCCGCGUUCGUAAUGACGGCUUUCGGGUUGUGAACCGCUUUCGCCUGAGACGAAGCGUGAGUGACGGUAAUGGGUGAAGAAGCACCGGCUAACUACGUG
rnacentral:rRNA from 1 species